GAUGAACGCUAGCGGCAGGCUUAAUACAUGCAAGUCGAGGGGGCAGCAAUGUCACCGGCGAACGGGUGCGUAACGCGUAUGCAACCUACCUACAUCAGGGGGAUAGCCCUAGGAAACUGGGAUUAACACCGCAUAACAUAUGACAAGGCAGCUGGUUAUAUUGAAAGAUUGAUAGGAUGUAGAUGGGCAUGCGUAGGAUUAGCUAGUUGGUAAGGUAACGGCUUACCAAGGCUACGAUCCUUAGGGGCUCUGAGAGGAGUAUCCCCCACACUGGCACUGAGAUACGGGCCAGACUCCUACGGGAGGCAGCAGUAGGGAAUAUUGGGCAAUGGAGGCAACUCUGACCCAGCCAUGCCGCGUGCAGGAAGACGGUCCUCUGGAUUGUAAACUGCUUUUGAAUGGGAAGAAUGUGUGGCUUGCGAGCUAUAAUGACGGUACCAUUAGAAUAAGCCACGGCUAACUACGUGCCAGCAGCCGCAGUAA
rnacentral:rRNA from 1 species